CUACAAAGGAAUUGACGGGACCGCACAAGCAGCGGAGCGUGUGGUUUAAUUCGUUGCUACACGAAGAACUUACCUGGGUUUGACAUAUAGGUUGUAGGGAACUGAAAGGGACCGACCCUUCGGGAGCCUAUACAGGUGUUGCAUGGCUGUCGUCAGCUCGUGUCGUGAGAUGUUCGGUUAAGUCCGCUAACGAGCGCAACCCUCGUCGUAUGUCAUAUGUGUCAUACGAGACUGCCGGUAAAAGCCGGAGGAAGGUGAGGAUGAUGUCAAGUCAGCAUGACCUUUAUAUCCAGGGCUACACACACGCUACAAUGGCCUGUACAAUGGGUAGCCAAGCCGCGAGGCGGAGCCAAUCCUGAAAGCAGGCCUCAGUUCAGAUUGCAGUCUGCAACUCGACUGCAUGAAGCCGGAGUUGCUAGUAACCGCAGGUCAGCAAUACUGCGGUGAAUACGUUCCCGGGUCUU
rnacentral:rRNA from 1 species